rnacentral:rRNA from 1 species
GACAGAGGUGGCGAGCGUUGUUCGGAUUUACUGGGCGUAAAGCGUGGGUAGGCGGUCCGGUUAGUCAGAUGUGAAAUCCCACCGCUCAACGGUGGAACGGCGUCUGAUACUGCCGGACUUGAGUGCAGGAGAGGAGGGUGGAAUUUCCGGUGUAGCGGUGAAAUGCGUAGAGAUCGGAAGGAACACCAGUGGCGAAGGCGGCCCUCUGGACUGCAACUGACGCUGAGACACGAAAGCGUGGGGAGCAAACAGGAUUAGAACGUACCGUGUACGU